CCGCCAAGCCCUGCCACCCUCGGCCACCGCCCUCCGCCACCGCCUGCGCCAGUGUGCAGAGAGGAUCCCAGAGGCUGAAGCAGUACUCGACCUGCUGGAGAAAUGUCCAGAGCACCAAAAAAAGGGCGAUUUUCCCGUCAUAGUUUUUGAGGGGCUGGAUGCCACUGGCAAAACCACUGUGACCGAGGCUGUUAAGGACAACCUGAAUGGCAUUCUGCUAAGGUCCCCACCACCUUGCAUCAGCCAGUGGAGGACUGUAUUUGAUGAUGAACCAACACCCAUUAAAAGAGCAUUUUAUGCUGCGGGCAACUACAUUCUCGCUUCAGAAAUAGCGAAAGCAUCCACUCAGGCACCUGUGAUCAU